rnacentral:rRNA from 1 species
CCUACGGGGGGCAGCAGUGGGGAAUUUUGGACAAUGGGGGAAACCCUGAUCCAGCCAUCCCGCGUGUGCGAUGAAGGCCUUCGGGUUGUAAAGCACUUUUGGCAGGAAAGAAACGUCGCGGGUUAAUACCUCGCGAAACUGACGGUACCUGCAGAAUAAGCACCGGCUAACUACGUGCCAGCAGCCGCGGUAAUACGUAGGGUGCAAGCGUUAAUCGGAAUUACUGGGCGUAAAGCGUGCGCAGGCGGUUCGGAAAGAAAGAUGUGAAAUCCCAGAGCUUAACUUUGGAACUGCAUUUUUAACUACCGGGCUAGAGUGUGUCAGAGGGAGGUGGAAUUCCGCGUGUAGCAGUGAAAUGCGUAGAUAUGCGGAGGAACACCGAUGGCGAAGGCAGCCUCCUGGGAUAACACUGACG